UACGAAGGGGGCGAGCGUUGUUCGGAUUUACUGGGCGUAAAGGGCGCGCAGGCGGUUCUGUUUGUCGAGUGUGAAAGCCCCGGGCUCAACCUGGGAACUGCGCUCGAAACGGCGGAACUAGAGUCCGGGAGAGGUGAGUGGAACUCCGAGUGUAGAGGUGAAAUUCGUAGAUAUUCGGAAGAACACCAGUGGCGAAGGCGGCUCACUGGCCCGGUACUGACGCUCAGGUGCGAAAGCGUGGGGAGCAAACAGG
rnacentral:rRNA from 1 species